AUUCACCCAAAUCCAAGGAACAAAAAUAGAAAAUAAAGGAAAGAGGGGAAGAAUCGGAGUCAAAGUUUCCUCGAAGUUUUCUCUUCUUCCCUUUCCUUCCCUUCCUUUCCCCCUCCU
rnacentral:ribozyme from 14 species